UACGUAGGGGGCUAGCGUUGUCCGGAAUCAUUGGGCGUAAAGAGCGUGUAGGCGGCCCGGUAAGUCCGCUGUGAAAGUCGGGGGCUCAACCCUCGAAUGCCGGUGGAUACUGUCGGGCUAGAGUGCGGAAGAGGCGAGUGGAAUUCCUGGUGUAGCGGUGAAAUGCGCAGAUAUCAGGAGGAACACCAAUUGCGAAGGCAGCUCGCUGGGACGUAACUGACGCUGAGACGCGAGAGCGUGGGGAGCAAACAGG
rnacentral:rRNA from 1 species